UCAAAGGCUGUAAUUUCCUGGAAAAUUCUGGAAUUUUAAUGACUAUAGCAUCUCCUUAUGGCAAAACCAAAAGGCAGCGUUGGACAGAAAAA